GGCGUGCAUUCCCCGGUGUAGCGGUGAAAUGCGUAGAUAUCGGGAGGAACACCAGUGGCGAAGACGGCCUCCUGGCCUGUUUCUGACGCUGAAGGCGAAAGCUAGGGGAGCGAACGGGAUUAGAAACCCCGGUAGUCCUAGCCGUAAACGAUGGAUGCUGGGUCUGGGGGGUAUAGAUCCCCUCCGUGCCGAAGCUAACGCGUUAAGCAUCCCGCCUGGGGAUUACGGCCGCAAGGCUUAAACUCAAACGAAUUGACGGGGGCCCGCACAAGCAGCGGAGCGUGUGGUUUAAUUCGGUGCUACACGAAGAACCUUACCUGGGCUUGACAUGUAGGUAGUAGUGAAGCGAAAGCGGAACGACCCUUCGGGGAGCCUACACAGGUGCUGCAUGGCUGUCGUCAGUUCGUGCCGUGAGGUGUCGGGUUAAGUCCCGUAACGAACGCAACCCUUGCCCUUAGUUACAUGUGUCUAAGGGGACUGCCCGGGACAACUGGGAGGAAGGUGGGGAUGACGUCAAGUCAGCAUGGCCUUUAUGUCCAGGGCUACACACACGCUACAAUGGCCGGUACAAUGGGUCGCCAAGCCGUGAGGCGGAGCCAAUCCCCCAAAGCCGGUCUAAGUUCGGAUUGUGGGCUGCAACUCGCCCAUAUGAAGCUGGAGUUGCUAGUAACCGCGCGUCAGCAAUAGUGCGGUGAAUACGUUCCCGGGCCUUGUACACACCGCCCGCCACGUCAUGGAAGCUGGCAACACCUGAAGCCAGUGAGCUAACCCGCAAGGGGGCAGCUGUCGAAGGUGGG
rnacentral:rRNA from 1 species